CCCAGUUGGCUUCAUAAAAAGUGCAUCUAAAUGUUCUGUGGUUGUCACAUCACCCUGAAGGACCUCUUCACCAUCUAUGAGACUGAAGAUAUCAUAUCGCCUCUCUACACCCUAGCCAUUACUUGAGCCUCUCCUGUGCAGAAAAUUAGGACAACAUCUGAGGAGGGCUAGGACAAGGAUAACUGUCCACCAGGGACCAAGCUAAGAUUGGUGGUGCACUGAAUGCCAGACUUGGGAGGAUUUGAGCAUCUCCCUGCCUUCAGUUCUUCCGUGACAAUAUUUUAGUGUCUGGCUCACUUUUUUGAUCAAAGAAGAUCAUUUACUGGGACUUCAGAAUGAAGG